AUUGAACGCUGGCGGCAUGCUUUACACAUGCAAGUCGAGCGGCAGCGCGGGGGCAACCCUGGCGGCGAGCGGCGAACGGGUGAGUAAUUCAUCGGAACGUAUCCUCGAGUGGGGGAUAACCCAGCUACAGUUGGGCUAAUACCGCAUGAGCUCUGAGGAGGAAAGCGGGGGACCUGCGAGGAACUCGCGCUGGACGAGCGGCCGAUGUCCGAUUAGCUAGUUGGUGGGGUAAAGGCUUACCAAGGCGACGAUCGGUAGCUGGUCUGAGAGGAUGAUCAGCCACACUGGGACUGAGACACGGCCCAGACUCCUACGGGAGGCAGCAGUGGGGAAUGUUGGACAAUGGGGGCAACCCUGAUCCAGCCAUGCCGCGUGAGUGAAGAAGGCCUUCGGGUUGUAAAGCUCUUUCGGAAGGAACGAAAUGGGCGGGACUAAUACUCCUGUCUGAUGACGGUACCGUAAGAAGAAGCACCGGCUAACUACGUG
rnacentral:rRNA from 1 species